rnacentral:lncRNA from 1 species
CCCCCUUCCUAUGAUCCAUUGAUGACGACGCUGCUCUACGGCAAGGAGACCCUAGAGUAUAAAGAUAUGGUCUCAGUGCUGCGGUCCAAUGAACAGUGAGAGAAGUUGACCAAGGAAGGUGCUCCUUAGGAGGGUUUGGCCAUGGGGAGAGAUCAGGAAGAAGAAGAAAAAGAGGCAAGCAAAGGGAUGGUCAAAAUCUCGAAAGAGC